rnacentral:rRNA from 1 species
CGUAACGCUUGAAUGUUAUAGCAUGGAACGAAUAACCUGACCUAGUUCAGUUAGUUGGUUCUCUGAACCGGGUCCUGAUUAAAAGGGACAUUUGAGGGCGUUAGUACUUGGUGGCGAGAGGUGAAAUUCUUAGACCCACCAAAGACUCACUAAUGCGAAAGCAUUCGCCAAGAAUGUUUUCAUUGAUCAAGAACGAAAGUUAGAGGUUCGAAGACGAUCAGAUACCGUCCUAGUUCUAUACAGUAAACUAUGCCACCACGGGAUCAGUCCGGAAAACGAUCCAGGUUGGUCCCCCAAGGAAACUUGAAGUGUUCGGGUUCCGGGGGGAGUACAGUCGCAAGUCCGAAACUUAAAGGAAUUGACGGAAGGGCACCACCAGGAGUGGAGCCUGCGGCUUAAUUUGACUCAACACGGGGCAACUCACCAGGUCCAGACAUUGAAAGGAUUGACAGACUGAUAGAUCUUUCAAGAUCCAAUGAUUGGUGGUGCAUGGCCGUUCUUAGUUGGUGGAGUGAUCUGUCAGGUCUAUUCCGGUAACGAGCGAGACCACGAUCUCUAUUUGAUUGCAGCUAUAUAUGUUAUAGUUGGUCAUAGAGAGACUACCGGAUUACAAGCCGGGGGAAGCGUGGCAAUAACAGGUCUGUGAUGCCCUUCGAUGUUCUGGGCCGCACGCGCGCUACAAUGGCAGUGACAACAAGUGUCUGCUUUGAGAAAAGUGGAGAAUCUUGACAAUCGCUGUCGUGAUUGGGAUUGAGCCUUGUAAUAAUUGCUCAUGAAAGAGGAAUUCCUCGUAAGCGCGAGUCACCAACUCGUGUUGAAUACGUCUCUGCCCUUUGUACACACCGCCCGUCGCUACUACCGAUUGAAUGGCUUUUCGAGAACUCGGGAUUGGUGAUCGCAAGGUCACCGAGAGCUGGUUCAAGGAAAGGUAUUUAGAGGAAGUAAAAGUCGUAACAAGGUUU